CAUUGUUUUUUGACACAAACAAUCUGUUUCCUGGGAACAUCAAGACCUGCCCUGCCCUGCCUUUUAAAUAUGCAUAAAAGAUCUGACAAACUGAGCAGAAGAACAGUGCAAAUUAAAGGACAUUUUGAGAGAGCAUGUGGAUAAGGAAAGUUGAUGCAUGAAGUAUUUACGGUAAAUGGCACUGAGACCAAGUAGGGGAAAGUUAGAAGAAAAGCCAUCUUGGUGGACAUGAGAGGAAUUUCAAAAUAACUGAAAGACAAUUUAGAAAGGUGAGGAUUAUUACUGGGCUUUUGACAAGGCAUCAGUCCAGUUCCCCCUUGUACUUGAAUCACCUCUUAGCUGUCUUUGGCCUGUAUCUGUGCAUGGUGUAACGCCAAAAUUACUGAACAUCUACCCUUGAUCACAGAAAACGCUUUCAUUGACUAUUUCUUUCUGUACUGCAGAAGACAAUGAGCCUCAUUCUCUGAUCUUUUCAUUCUGUUUACUGUACUUGGAUUAUGUCAAUGGGACAUGCUAAGUUUUAACCCACUGAGGAAAAAACCCACAUAUUUAUGUCCCUGCUCAAGCUACAAAAAGGGGGCUGCAAACUUUACAGGGUUAUGCAGCACAGGGAAGGGACCUUCCACCCAAGUGACAUCCCAGGUACAGCUGGGCAGGAGCUGUCACCCAAUAAAGCAUGUCAGCCAUGCUCCCAAUAAGAAAAGACACUGGCACAGAAUCUACAAGGGAAGAAAUGAGCUAUUUUUUGCAGCUUGUUCUUUUUCAUAGCAUCUCUGCUUAUAUUAAAAUAUUUUGUUGUUAU